CUACGGGCUGCUCCAGUGAGGAAUAUUGCACAAUGGGGGGAACCCUGAUGCAGCAACGCCGCGUGGAGGAUGACGCAUUUCGGUGUGUAAACUCCUUUUAUAUGUCAAGAAAAUGACGGUAGCAUAUGAAUAAGCACCGGCUAACUCCGUGCCAGCAGCCGCGGUAAUACGGAGGGUGCAAGCGUUACUCGGAAUCACUGGGCGUAAAGGACGCGUAGGCGGGUUGGAAAGUCGGGUGUGAAAUCCUACAGCUUAACUGUAGAACUGCACUUGAAACUUCUAAUCUAGAGUAUGGGAGGGGGAGAUGGAAUUAGUGGUGUAGGGGUAAAAUCCGUAGAUAUCACUAGGAAUACCUAAAGCGAAGGCGAUCUCCUGGAACAUUACUGACGCUAAGGCGUGAAAGCGUGGGGAGUAAACAGGAUUAGAUACCCCCGUAGUC
rnacentral:rRNA from 1 species